UACGUAGGGUGCGAGCGUUAAUCGGAAUUACUGGGCGUAAAGUGUGCGCAGGUGGCCGCGCAAGUCGAGUGUGAAAUCCCCGAGCUUAACUUGGGAAUUGCGCUCGAAACUACGUGGCUCGAGUGUGGCAGAGGAAGGUGGAAUUCCACGUGUAGCGGUGAAAUGCGUAGAGAUGUGGAGGAACACCGAGGGCGAAGGCAGCCUUCUGGGCCAACACUGACGCUCAUGCACGAAAGCGUGGGGAGCGAACAGG
rnacentral:rRNA from 1 species